rnacentral:lncRNA from 1 species
UUUAACUUCUUCAACCUAGAGCUCCUGUAGAAGAAUGAAAAUGAUCGUUAUCAUGGCCGCCAAUUCAAAAUGAAAGCAAUACCUUCCAACAGAGAACAACUAGGAAAAGAAUAAUUAACAGAAUAAUAAAUAGAUACACAAGCAGCUAGGAGUCGAUCCUGAAGCAUGAGGGCAUGGAUAACAGUAGCAACCAUGAGGAGUAAAUAGUAGCAAAUAUUAUAUUGGUGGAAAAAGGUAAAUACCAGCAAGCUCUAAGAAGACUCCAAGAGCUUGAUGGCUCACAAUACAAUCAUGUUUUCGAUAACAAAUACUACUAGAAUUAAGGCACUAAACAUAUUCUAAGAAGUAUCAACAUCAUGGCAGUAAAAAUUAGUAGUAGCAGCUAGCAGGACAUCAAUCGAACACAACGUAAUUAUCAUUUGAACAAUCGAGACAACAAGUUACAGAACAAGCAUGUAUUGACAGGAUAGUUAUCAAUAGUAUAGAACAGAACUAAAUCAAACAGAACUAAAUAUGCAAACGACAAGUGUACAAAAGCUGUAUAUACUGAUACAUACUUGCUAACUGAUUUCUGUUUGGCCUUUAAAGCAUUAGUACGCUUGUUACUCUUUUUAGAGAGACAGGUAUGUAUAUGGUCCUUUUUGCGCCUGUGGUUGCAAGCAUAUGCAGAAGAAGCAACUGACGGACGACACUUAUAUGUGUACAUUCAAAAGUAAGUACAAAAUGGCUUUAGCUUCGAAACAAGAGAACCAGAUGCAUGCCCCGUGCAGUAUUUAAUUUCAAGCGAGUGGGUGCAAACACCAACCAUAACCAGGAAUAUUGGAGAACUACAAGUUAAAUGUACUCAAAGAAACCACCAAAAUCUCUCAAUACCGGUCACAACAAGUAAUCAGAAUACAGCAGCAACAAGUACCAGGAAUAAAUCACGUAAGUAACUAGAACAGAGAAAGAAAAUGUAGAAGUGGCACGAGUCAUGAAUGGUGUCUUGAGUUACUGCUGCAUCGUCCGUAACAGAGGCCGAGGAACUCGCUGUGAUGGGUUGCAGCAUCUAUGCUGAUGCAGUCUCAGCCACAGGCUCCUCCUCACACCUGAAGUGAAACACGCAGGUUGGUCAGCAGAACUACAACAGUUUAGCUUUUGGAGAUGACGAAUAACUCAAUUACCUUUGAUAUCUGUUUCAAAAAAAUUAACCUUCUAGUAUGGCCAUGUUAAUACAUAAAAUUAACCUUUUCCCUUUUACUUUCUAUGAAAAAUGUAAGAGACCAGAAUUCUACAUGUAGCUUCUGUAGACAUAAAUCCUAGAGAAAUACAACUCUGUACGAGAAUCACCCCAAAUAUGAACAGAACAAUUCGGUAUCGCCUAGACGAGGAAUUGAAAAUGCAUGAGCUGAUGCUAUUGUAUGAUACAGUUAUAUACUCCCAUAAAAGAAGUGUUGUUUAAGUACACUCUCUUCUCUUUAUUCCAUCUAUUAAGUAUAUACUCCCAUAAUAGAUAAAAGAAGUAUAUACUCCCAUAAAAGACUUCUAGCUGCCUUUCAGUGCCUAUGUACAGUGCUUUGCAGUCAGGUUUAGGACUAGCAUGAAAACAAAACUAUCUACUUGUUGUACUUGUUAUGUUAAACCAUCGAAAUCAAUCUGGUGUGACACAGGUGGGUUAUGCUAUCCACGACACGAGCACUGCAUUUGUUAAUAUCGACUGCAGUAACGAGGGACUGUUCAAUGCUACGAUUCAACCACGGAGUAAACUCAAAUGAGCGUGGAAGAAGAGCUCACCUCAUUGAAGGCGAGGAUCUGGCCGUAGCUCUUCUUCACGCAUUCUCGAGAGGCUUCCGAAUUUGAAUCAUGUCCUCACCAGAACUUGGACUUGGCGUGGAUCUCGCUGGUGGCCCAGAGCUUCAUGCGGUAGAUCCUAGGAUGCUCCUCGGUCGGCGUCGGUAGGCCCCUCCCGACAACCUCGUACUGGUGGAACUGCACGAGCGCGAGUGCCAAAUGGUCAGUUCAGAUCACACGACAAGAACUAAUCCCCAUGAUAAUGGUGCGUACGAGUAAGAGGGGCUCACCCUGACCGUGACCAUCCUGACCGGAGUUGCUGAGGUCGCCGUGCGUCGGUCUGGGGCGAUGGGAUUGCUGUUGUGCGAUGCUGCGACGGGCUUCUAUUCGCGGGAGCCGCACUAGCCCAGGGCCCCGCCGGUGAGCUCCGACGAGGGGAGGGGGAGGGAGGCGACCCCCAUCACCAUGGCUGCCAAAUCCCUCCCUCCGGAUCGAGGCUGUGUCCGCCAGAUCGAUGUGGCCAAGGCUGCCAAUCCGCCUCGCCUGCUCGAACUGGACCUCGAGGAGAGGAGGUGGUGGCCAUCAACGGUGGGGAUGGGGGGCAACGGCGGCGGCGGCGUCCAUCUCCGCCUGGAUCACGCGCAUGGGGGUAUGGGGAGGGGAGGGGAAUUGGCUCGCGAGAUUUGUUCGUGAGGGGGCAACUCGGACAGGAGGGGUGGUGGAAGGAAGGAUGGCCGGUGCUGGGGGUGACGAGGAGGUCGGCGGCGGCAGGGGUGGGGGAGGCCGACGGCGGGGUUGGGAUGGCAGAGAGAGGGAGGUCUGGGUCGGGGACAGGCGGAUCUAGGAGGAGGUGGCGGCGGUGAGGAGCUGAGGGAGGAGGAGUGUGGGUGCGGGUUAGGGUUUGGGCUGCGGAUGGAUGGCUGGAUGGAGAGGUGGAGAGUUGGACAGAUGGAUGGGCGCCAUGUCAUCGAUCCGUGUGACAACUAAACCCACCAAUGAGAAUAGAGCACAUAUAAUUGUGUUUUUCGUUUUGUUUUUCUUCUACUUUUACACAUGAAAAAAAUCAAAAAAAUGGUCUCACAUUAUGCACAAGUUUGUAUCUUGAAUGAAAAACAAUGUUGCCUAAGAAAUUUUUCAUUUUCGUUGCAUGAAAUAUUCAUUUUCCAUUUCUCGAGUGCUCAAAAUGAGUUUUUUUGUGAAGAACAUACCAAAUAUUUGUUGCAAAAUUGUACCAAAUCAUUUUUAUAAAAUACUAGACCAUAUUUAAUGUACAAAUAACCAAAUGGUUGGGUGUCAAAACUUUUAAUCCACCUCUCAUGAAAAAGACAAAUUUCCGCUGAUUCAGUUGGAAGCGGGUCAAAUUUGAACUACAGUUGCCUCAUAGUUUGCUAUUUAUUUUUUCCAAAAAUCAUUUCUAGGUACAUAAGUAUCUAUUUAAUUAGAGAAACAUCAAAAGUUUUCCAAGAUUCAACCACUAGCUAGGAACGGUCAAGCCCGCCGUUUUGACCGCAUUUUGAAACGGGCAUAAAAAAUUCAAAAAAUAUCAAAAAAUUGGAAAACCUUCGCAUUGUGUCAUUAUAUGUGACCAAGUUUCCAGGAAAAAUAAUAAACUUGUAAUACGGUAAUUAUUUUAAAAAAGUGUUCUCAGAAAUGAGCUAUCAUGUGUGAAGAUUCAUGGAUUUCAACCCAAACGCUCAAUCUCAUGGUCACAUUCAUGGCAUAGUUUGUUCAAAUGAUCUCAUAUUGUGCACAAGGGUGCAUCUUGGAAUUCCAAACAAUGUUGCCAAAGGGAGUUUUCAUUUUCUUUACACGGAAAAUUCAUUUUCCAUUUUUCGAGUGCCCGAAAUGAGGUUUUUUUGUGAAGGACCUACCAUAUAUUUGUUGCAAAAUUGUACCAAAUCAUUUUUAUAAAAUACUAGACCAUAUUUAAUGCACAAUUGACAAAAUGGUUGGGUGCCAAAAGUUUUGAUCCACCUCUGGUGAAAAAGACAAAUUCUCGCUGAUUCAAUAGGAAGCGGGUCAAAUUUGAACUGCAGCUGCCUCAUAGUUUGCUAUUUAUUUUUUCCAAAAUCAUUUCUAGGUACAUAAGUAUCUAUUUAAUCAGAGAAACAUCAAAAGUUUUCCAAGAUUCAACCACUAGCUAGGAACGGUCAAGCCCGCCGUUUUGACCACAUUUUGAAACGGGCAUAAAAAAUUCAAAAAAAAUCAAAAAAUUGGAAAACCUUCGCAUUGUGUCAUUAUAUGUGACCAAGUUUCCAGAAAAAAUAAUAAACUUAUAAUACGGUAAUUAUUUUAAAAAAGUGUUCUCAGAAAUGAGAUAUCAAGUGUGAAGAUUCAUGACUUUCAAGCCAAAUGAUCAAUCUUAUGGUCACAUUCAUGGCAUAGUUUGCUCAAAUGAUCUCAUAUUAUGCACAAGGGUGCAUAUUGGAAUGGCAAACAAUGUUGCCUAAGGAAGUUUUCAUUUUCUUUGGACGAAAAAACCAUUUUCCAUUUUCUGAGUGCCUGAAAUGAGUUUUUUUUGUGAAGGACCUACCAUAUAUUUGUUGCAAAAUUGUACCAAAUCAUUUUUAUAAAAUAUUAGGAAAUAUUUAAUGCACAAUUGACAAAAUGGUUGGGUGCCAAAAGUUUUGAUCCACCUCUGGUGAAAAAGACAAAUUCCCGCCGAUUCAGUUGGAAGCGGGUCAAAUUUGAACUGCAGCUGCCUCAUAGUUUGCUAUUUAUUUUUUCCAAAAAUCAUUUCUAGGUAAAUAAGUAUCUAUUUAAUCAGAAAUACAUGGUUUUAUGGCAAGACAUCGAGGUUUGGAUGGUGGCCGAGGGCCCCAACUCUAGAGCGCGUAAGCUCGCAUGCCCGCUGCGUGGUCACCGCGUGACCGUGGCGUUGCCAUGUGUUCUGGGUGGCCUAGGCAUGUCUAGUGGGUUGGGAACUCCCCAGGUAGGUGCUAGGAAGAAAAUCACAACAUAAGAUUCUCACGAGGAGACCGAUCGAUGCUCAAACAUGAAUAAACAACCAAGUGUUUGAUUUAUGGUACGGGAAAUGCACAUGGCUAAUGGGCGUGAGUUUUGGCUAAGGAUGAUAAGUUACUAAGAAUACCGUCUUCACAAAUUUUUACCUCAAAAGGAGGAACCUAGGUGGUACUUGCUUUACAAAGCACCACAUUUGACAUAAAUACAAAUGUUGAAGCUGGGCUCAAAAUAAUGAAUGGAUUGAGUUGGCAUUUGGUGGAGGAUGGUUAUUUGGGCAUAGGAAAGCACUGUAGAAAAUGGAUACCAUUUGGACAUGCCAAAGUGGUACUUCCUUCACAAACUGUUGUUCUGAACAGAAUAGGAAAAUGAAUAUUUUUUAAUUAUUUUUGAACUAGGAAACGAAGGUUUUUACAUAUUUGACGAAUAUAUGACCCAAAGAAUUUAUGAGAUUUUUUUUGGAAUUUUGGGAAUGACAGAAAUAUAGGUUGCUACACAACCUAGGGCAAAAACUACCACAUGGACAUGACACAUAGGCAAAAUUGAUGAGAUGGCGCCUAGUCAUCGCAACCCACCACAAUUUACAAGGCUAUGACCAUCUAUAUUGGUCGUUAACAACUAGAAAUAAGGUAGCGGACUAGCGCUAUUUGCUUUAUGACCAUUUCGUGUAAGGAAAUUAUGACCUUUCUGACCAAAAUGGUCGCAAUGGUUUAUGGUUUGCAGCCCCCCAGAUAGCUUUUGACCAAUUGGUCUAAAAUGGUCAUAAAUUUAUGACCAAUUCUUCGAGGGUCACUGACAGAAGGUCAUAAGUUGACAUAUUUCUUGUAGUGAAACUACUAAAUGCGGAAAAUAAAGUGAGCAAUGAAGAUUAGAGCGAAAAUAUUUACAAAUUGCCGCUCCUGAAAGAGGGACUGUGACUAUGCACUGGUCAUGGGAAAGCUCGUGCGCUGGCUCAGGCUUGGGUCGACCCGACGGAGCUAUGCGUAGGAGAUAGUAGGAGUGAUCAAAGCAUCCAGAACCGCCUCCCGACCGUGCUCCUUGGGCCCCGUGCCCACCACCACCCUCUCGUCCAGAUCCACCGCAAUGGGGUCAGGUGUGUCAGGAUGUAACCUCAGAUACCCUUCGGAGUAGGCCUUCUUCCUCUGCGCGGUCUUCUUGCCGUAGUACUUGGGCUUGCCAGGCUUGCAGUUCUUCCGCGUAUGGGCGAUCUCCCACGCCUCCAUGUGUGAGAGCGGCCGCUUCAGUUUCUCCGCCUGCACCACCAAACAGAGGUUAGUCAUACAUAAGAAAGUGACGGUAAAUAGAAGAAGAAGAAUGUUUAAUGAGGUUAGUCAUACAUUAAGUGUCUUGUGGAGAAAGUGGUUUUGGUUUCCCUGAGCAUGUACUCCCUCCUUCCCUCGGUUAGCCUUGUUUUUGAUGCUCGUAGCCGCCCCCAGGCUCCAUCCUUAUCACACCAAAGAUCCACCAAUGCCGCCCAGGAUUCAUCUUUUCCAUAACACCAAUUUGGACACACCUACAUAAUGAAAACAUAAUGGCAUGUCAACACGAAACGGUGAAAUGUACCACAAACAUCGGAGUGAACAAUCUUUUAUACUUACCGCCAAGUACUUGUGCCUCUCCAAGGUAAUGCCCAUCAUCCGCGCUACUUCCUUGGUCAUCUUCACACCAAGAGCGUCGUGAUAGUAUGUCGAGAUGGCCACAUAGCGCACCUCGUACUGCAUCUAGUGGGCCUUCUUCUUGCAUUGGCGCAGCAUGAUCUGGUCGGCUCUGGCCUUGUGCUCCGGAAGGACUCGAUAGAAUUUCUACAAUCAUGCAUGAAACAAGAAUGGAAGAAGCCGUGAGUUAAGUCAUUCAUGAAACUAGAAUGGACUUGUGCUUCUGAAGAGAACUCACCCAGAAAAUAGUGAUCACGACCGCUUUCGAGUGGUCCCAGCUCGUCGCCAAAACCCGACAGUCCGGGUGCCUGACUGGAUCCGGACAAUACAGCCCCGACCAGUGUAACUUCAGUAAGACGGUGAUGAGGCCGUUGGGAAUACGGGCCCCACUAGGAUAUAUCCAUUUGCUGCAAAAGAAUGAAAUAUUAGCAUGUGACAAGCAAGAUAAAUAACUACCGGAAUGAGCAUGUGACAAGCAAAAUAAUGAAAUUAUUAUAAAGUGGCACUUACUCUUUCCUCAUGGGCUCAAUGAGCCACUUCUGCUCCUCAGUAGGAGGAAUCUGCUUUGGUAGCUUUGCGUUACCACGCAGCCACCCCUUGUUGCCAACCCCUCCCCGCCACCACCCUCCUCCUCACCUGCCUCCUGCUCCUCCUCCUCGCCCCCUCCCCAACCUCCUCCUCCACCUCCUCCUCGGCCCCAUCCUGAACCUCCUCAUCCUCCUCCUCCUCCUCGUCAGAGGGUACCUCACUAGAGGAGGGCCUCAAAGACAACACCACUAAGUCGGUGAGGGUGCGCUCUUUCUGGCCGCGACCCCCUGUAGUGGCUCUUCCCCCACCAUCUCGCCCUCUAGGGGCUCUCCCCCCGCCCCCUUCUCCUCUAGGGGGACCUCUCCCUCGACCUCCCUAUGGGGAGUCAUCGUCAAGUAGCCAGGGGGGAGGAUUACGUGCUCGACGACUCCUACUAGGUAGGCCGAUGACCUUGCGUAGGAAACCCAUGCCGUCAACCUUCCCCUUGCCCAUGUUCCACGAACCUGCAUUGAAAAGAGAAUAAGCAAUUAGUACAUUAAUAAAAUGAAGGAAAGGGCAUAAUAAUAAGGAAUAAUAAACACAUUAGUAAAAAAGCAUAAAAAGGCAUAUUCCUAAACUAUAGAAAAAAAGACUUGAAACGUACAUCAACUAGAACUCAUACGAAUCAUCACUAUUGUAACCUCGUUGUCGGUCGGUCUCAUCAUCACUAUCAAUCAUAUCAUCUUCAUUGUUUGACGGAGGUGGAGGCUCUUCCUCGUCGUCAGCGUCUUUGUUUAACUUUUCUAGCAUAAGUAUGUCAUUUUCAUUGACAAUGGUCUCACCAUCAUUCCGUGCAUCGUCGUUGUUUGCAUCCACACCAUCAUCACCCAAUGGUCUAGCGUCAUCGUUUCUAACCACAUCAUCAUCAUCAAGUUGCUCUUGAUAGAACACUCCCUCGUAUGUCGUGGGGUUAAUGUUGUAGUAAUUGUCUUCAUUCGGGUCCGGUAGCUUACCAUCUGGCGACACCUUGAACACAACUUCCCAACCCUUUAGGACUCUUUCUGGCAUGGGUAAGGCAGAUAAUAAACUUGUGUAGCUUGGGUAGCCGCAAUGAAGAGAUCGGCUCCGGCAUAGACGAUUGAUGGUUUAACUUCGACCAAACCAAUGGAAGGCGUAUGUUUUACACCCUCUCGUGGAUCGAACCAUCGGCAUUUGAACACAGGCGGACUUAGGGUCUCGCGCCCCUUGCGGAAUUUAAUCUCAUAUAUAUUAUGUACCCCUCCGUAGUAUUCUACUGAAUUUUGACCAGGGAUGUACACUCCGGUAUUUAUAAUUUUGGGAUUAGGCCGGCUGUUCUGGUGCUCCUCUGUUUGGAAGCGAUACCCAUUCACAUCAUACUUUUUACAUGUCAUGACGGUAGGGUCAAAACCCAUGGAAACCCAUCUCAAUUCAUCAUCCAUAGAUAUGUUCGAAUGUUUUCCCUACAAGUAUAAUUGCAAUUGUUUGGUGCAUUAUUUCGGUUAACUAAUAAAUGUUGAACUAGGUAUUUAAUGACGGAAUGUGGAAAAUUACUUUCUCCAUGAACGAAGCAACAAAAAAUUUACGUCCAGGGUUUCCAUGAUGGAGAAGAGUAAGUGCCUCCCCUCAGCGGGAGGAUUCAUUCCCAUCCAUUCCUCUUGAACGAAAUCACUAAAGGAAGAACAGCGGUGUUAGACCGGGACUAAGUGCACAUAGAACAUGAUGUUGUGGAAGACAUAAAGGAAUGAUGUAGUGGUAUUACCUCAUCCACACUUCCUCAACUUCCUUGAUGUUGUGCAAGAUAUAGAACAUGAGGUCCUCCCACUCCUGUCGUGGCAUGUUAUAAGAUUUCGAGGCCCCAGCCCUCUCACCUUGCACAUUGAAUAGAUGGAGCCUGGGUUGAUACUUGGGCUCUUCUCUAUUGUAUCGAGGCACCCUUUUAUGCAGAUGGGGAACGUGGUAUGGAUAGUAUGAUGUCCUAAGGUCUAACACCUCCUCUAGGAUAACUGCCUCAUCUAUGGAAGCUUCCAUCUUUGCUUUGUUUCCACAUUUCUGUCGGAGAUGCUUGUUCUGUCUCUCAGGGCCGUACUGCCAGCGAUUCUGCACAGCCACCCCCCCAAACAUUAUCUCGUUCGCGAGGUGCAGAAAUGAGAUGUGUCAUCGGAGUAAAGAAGCCUGGCGAAAAGAUCUUCUCUAGCUUGACUAUCAACUCCGGUCCCUUCUUAUGCAAUUUUUCAAUCACGUCUUUACUUACUUCUUUAGCACAGAGCGUGCGGAAGAAAUGUCUUAGCUCGGCAAGCACUUGCCAGACAUGCUCGGGGACAUGGCCUUGAACCAUCACCGGCAUUAUCCGCUCAAUCCAUACAUGGUAGUCAUGACUCUUCAGGAUGGUCACUUUCCCCAUUGAAAGGUUGACUCCCUUACUUAUAUUCGAUGCAUAACCAUCGGUGAACUUCAAAAUGUGUUUCAGUCCGAUAAGUACUUCCUUUUUUCUGGCGAUUUAAGGACAAAGUCAGCAUCUGGCUUGAACCAAUUUUUUCGACUGCCUAUGGGAGGCUUCAUGUUUAGACGUGGUCUAUCACAAAUUCUCUGUUGAUCGGCUCUAGCUUUAACGUUAUCUGAUGACGCACAAGUAUAGGGGAUCUAUCGUAGUCCUUUCGAUAAGUAAGAGUGUCGAACCCAAUGAGGAGCAGAAGGAAAUGAUAAACGGUUUUCAGCAAGGUAUUCUCUGCAAGUACUGAAAUAGUGGUAACAGAUAGUUUUGUGAUAAGAUAAGUUGUAACGAGCAACAAGUAAUAAAAGUAAACAAAGUGCAGCAAGGUGGCCCAAUCCUUUUUGUAGCAAAGGACAAGCCUGGACAAAAUCUUAUAUAAGGAAAAGCGCUCCCGAAGACACAUGGGAAUAUCGUCAAGCUAGUUUUCAUCACGCUCAUAUGAUUCGCGUUCGGUACUUUGAUAAUUUGAUAUGUGGGUGGACCGGUGCUUGGUUGCUGUUCUUACUUGAACAAGCAUCCCACUUAUGAUUAACCUCUAUUGCAAGCAUCCGCAACUACAACAAAAGUAUUAAGGUAAACCUAACCGUAGCAUGAAACAUAUGGAUCCAAAUCAGCCCCUUACGAAGCAAUGCAUAAACUAGGGUUUAAGCUUCUGUCACUCUAGCAACCCAUCAUCUACUUAUUACUUCCCAAUUCCUUCCUCUAGGCCCAAAUAAUGGUGAAGUGUUAUGUAGUCGAUGUUCACAUAACACCACUAGAGGCUAGACAACAUACAUCUCAUCAAAAUAUCGAACAAAUACCAAAUUCACAUGACUACUAAUAGCAAGACUUCUCCCUUGUCCUCAGGAACAAACGUAACUACUCACAAAGCAUAAACAUGAACAUAAUCAGAGGGGUAUUAAUAUGCAUAAAGGAUCUGAACAUAUGAUCUUCCACUAAUUAAACCAACUAGCAUCAACUACAAGGAGUAAUUAAGCAACCUACUAGCACCAAUCGCGGACUUGGAGACAAGAAUUGGAUACAAGAGACGAACUAGGGUUUUGAGAUGAGGUGGUGCUGAUGAAGAUGUUGAUGGAGAUUUCCCUCUCCCGAUGAGAGGAGAGUUGGUGAUGACGAUGGCCAUGAUUUCCCCCUCCGGGAGGGAAGUUUCCCCGGCAGAAUAGCUCUGCCGGACCUCUAGAUUGGACCCGCCAAGGUUCCGCCUCGUGGCGACGGAGUUUCGUCCCGAAAGGUUGCUUAUUAUUUUUUUCUCGACGAAAGACUUCAUAUAGGAGAAGAUGGUCACCAGGGGGCCCACGAGGUAGGGGGCGCGCCCCCCACCCUCGUGAGAAGGGUGUGGGCCCCCUGGUCUUCAUCUUUGGUGAGGAUUUUUCAUUAUUUAUUAUAAGGUAUUCCAUGGAGUUUUAGGACUUUUGGAGUUGUGUAGAAUAGGUCUCUAAUAUUUGCUCCUUUUCCAGCCCAGAAUUCCAGCUGCCAGCAUUCUCCCUCCUUAUGUAAACCUUUUAAAAUAAGAGAGAAUAGCCAUAAGUAUAGUGACAUAAUGUGAAAUAACAGCCCAUAAUGCAAUAAAUAUCGAUAUAAAAGCAUGAUGCAAAAUGGACGUAUCAACUCCCCCAAGCUUAGACCUCGCUUGUCCUCAAGCGAAAGCCGAUAACAAUAAAUAUGUCCCCAUGUUUAGAGGUAGAGGCCUCAAUAAAAAUAAAAGACGGACAUGAGGGCAUCAUGAUUAUUCUCAUAACAGCAACAUACAUAGAUAUUGUCAUAUGAUUACUUAUGUUCGAGUGAUGAUAUAUUCACAAUGCAAAAGUAUGAAUCAGAAACCUAAUUGAGAACCAACAAACUAUAACCUCAGUCAUUGAAGCAAUUGCAAUUUAUCAUAACAUCAGAAAGAGUCUAUGUCAGAGCUAAAAGGCAAGUCCACAUACUCAACAAUCAUCUAGUCCUUCAUAAUUGCUAACACUCACGCAAUACUUGUGAUUACGGAGUUUUAAUCGGACACAGAGAAAGAUAGGGGCUUAUAGUUUCGCCCCACAACCUUUUUACCUCGAGGGUAAUGUCAACAAUAAUAACUCAUGCCCCCCUACAUCCAAUUAGAUAUAUCUACCAGGAUCUUUUCCAACACACUGUGCUUGCCAAAGGAUAAAAUGUAAAAAGGAAAGGUGAAGAUCACCAUGACUCUUGCAUAAGGUAGAAGAUAAUAAUAAAAGAUAUGCCCUUCGCAGAGGGAAGCAGAGGUUGCCAUGCGCUUUUAUGGUUGGAUGCACAAAAUCUUAAUGCGAAAGAACGUCACUUUAUAUUGCCCCUUGUGAUAUGAACCUUUAUUAUGCAGUCUGUCGCUUUUAUUACUUCCACAUCACAAGAUCGUAUAAAGCUUAUUUCUCCCACACCAAUCAAUCAUACAUAUUUAGAGAACAAUUUUUAUGGCUUUGCACCGAUGACAACUUACUUGAAGGUUCUUAUUCAAUCCAUAGGUAGAUAUGAUGGACUCUCAUGGCAAAACUGGUUUAAGGGUAUUUGGAAGCACAAGUAGUAUCUCUACUUGGUGCUGAGAAUUUGGCUAGCAUGAGGGGGAAAGGCAAGCUCAACAUGUUGGAUGAUCCAUGACAACAUACUUUAUCUCAGAUAUAAGAAAACAUGACCCAUUACGUUGUCUUCCUUGUCAAACAUCAACUCUUUAGCAUGUCAUAUUUUGAUGAGUGUUCCCAAUCAUAAAAGAUGUCAAUGAUAGUAUAUUUGUAUGUGAAACCUCUCUUUCCUUAUUACUUCCUAUUAAUUGCAACGAUGACCAAAGCUAUGUUUGCCAACUCCCAACAACUUUUAAUCAUCACACUCUUCUUAUUCUUAUUCUCUUUUCUUUUCUUUUAUUUGGGAUCAUGGCAAAAAUAAACAAGCCCUUGACUCAACACUAAUCUUUAUUAUAUAGCUCACGGACUCAAUUGCAUAGAAGGAUCAAAAAGCAAAACUCAUGACUAGAUCAUACUAAGAACUUUUAUUCUACUAGAUCAAAAUAUUACCAAAAGGAUCGAACUAAGAAAACGGUGAAGAUAAAAGUGAUGGUGAUACGAUACCGGGGCACUCCCCCAAGCUUGGCAGUUGCCAAGUGGAGUGCCCAUACCCAGGUGAUUAUGUCUCCUUUGUUGGUGAAGAAGGUGGAGUUGUUGAUGACGGAUAGUCGCACAUCGAGCGUAGGAGGUCUUCUAACUUGCGAAUAAUGCCCUUGAGUGCGAUGAUAUGCUCCUUCAACAAAAUAUUUUCACAUGUGAGAUACUUAUUUUGUAUACGAGCCAACUCAAUCAUCUUGAAAGCUUCGAUUUCUGUAGGGGUAAGAAGAUUAUGAUCCAGUUGAAGGGUGUCUUCUAUUGCUAGAACUUGGUCCUCCAUGGCCUUCUUGAUCCCUUCAUCCUUGUUGAUCGCCAUAGGUUUUUCUCUCUUCAGCUCUAUCUUCAUUAGGCAAGCAUAGUUGCCCUCAUGGUUGGAGGAGGAGGGAGAUGACAUAGUGCCUGGCCUUGACAACCCUAACAGAAAAUAGCUCGAAACAAAGACAACAGAUUUUUGCAUGAUACGAGAGUCAAAACCCCCGGGAGAUUAUAUAGUGAAUUUUUACCGACCAAAAUACGUAUCGCGCAAGAAAACGGAGUCCGGAAGGCACACGAGGAGCUCACGAGGUAGGGGGUUUGCCCAGGGGGAUAGGGCGCGCCCUGCACCCUCGUUGGGCCCUCGUGUCCUUCCCGGACUGCUACUUAAUUUUCUAUUUUUCUAAAUAUUCCAAAACAGAGAAAUAUUGACUUAAAAAUUGUUUUGGAGUCGGUUUACUUACCGUACCACAUACCUAUUCCUUUUUGGAGUCUGAAACGUUCUGGAAAGUGUCCCUUAUGUAUUCCUUCGGGGUUACGGUUUCAAUAAUAUUGGUUUCAACAUUUAUGGGAUUACCUGAGAUAUAAUGUUUAAUUCUCUGACCGUUUACCACCUUCGGAUUUAUGCCUUCGAAGUUGUUGAUCUUUAUGGCACCGGAACGAUAGACCUCCUCGAUAACGUAGGGACCUUCCCAUUUAGAGAGAAGUUUUCCUGCAGAAAAUCUUAAACGAGAGAUGUAUAGCAAUACAUAAUCACCUACAUUAAACUCACACUUUUGUAUCCUUUUGUCAUGCCAUCUUUUAACCUUUUCUUUAAACAACUUGGCAUUUUCAUAAGCUAGGGUUCUCCAUUCAUCGAGAGAGCUAAUAUAAAAUAACCUCUUUUCACCGGCAAGUUUGAAAUCGUAGUUGAGCUCUUUAAUAGCCCAAUAUACCUUAUGUUCUAGUCCGAGAGGUAAGUGACAUGCUUUUCCAUAUACCAUUUUAUACGGAGACAUACCCAUAGGAUUUUUAUAAGCAGUUCUAUAGGCCCAUAAUGCAUCAUCAAGUUUCUUGGACCAAUUCUUUCUAGAUCUAUUGACAGUCUUUUGCAAAAUUAAUUUGAGUUCUCUAUUACUCAACUCUACUUGACCACUAGACUGUGGGUGAUACGGAGAUGCAAUUCUAUGAUUGACAUCAUAUUUAGCAAGCAUUUUACGGAAAGCACCAUGAAUAAAAUGUGAACCACCAUCAGUCAUUAAAUAUCUAGGGACUCCAAACCUCGGAAAAGUAACUUCCUUAAGCAUUUAAUAGAAGUGUUAUGAUCAGCACUGCUAGUUGGAAUAGCUUCUACCCACUUAGUAACGUAAUCAACAGCAACUAAAAUAUGUGUAUAUCCAUUAGAGGCAGGAAAAGGUCCCAUAUAAUCAAAGCCCCAAACAUCAAAUGGUUCAAUAACAAGUGAAUAAUUCAUAGGCAUUUCUUGACGUCUACUAAUAUUACCAAUUAUUUGACAUUCAUCGCAAGAUAGGACAAACUUACGGGCAUCUUUGAAGAGAGUAGGCCAAUAAAAACCGGAUUGCAAUACCUUAUGUGCAGUUCUAUCUCCCACGUGGUGUCCUCCAUAAGUUUCGGCGUUCCACUUGCGUAGGAUCUGUUCAUGUUCAUGCUCAGGUACACAACAUAUAAUAACAUCAUCUACUCCUUCUUUAUAAAGAUGUGGGUCAUCCCAAAAGUAAUGUCUCAAAUCAUAGAAGAACUUUUUCUUUUGCUGGUAUGUGAAGCUGGGUGGUAUAAAUUUAGCAACUAUGUAAUUAGCAUAAUCAGCAUACCAAGGGGUACUACGAGAAGUACUUAUGACAUUUAAUUGUUCAUCAGGAAAGCUAUCACCAAUAGUUAGUGGGUCAUCAAGAACAUUCUCUAACCUAGAUAAGUUGUCUGCAAUGGGGUUCUCAGAUCCUUUUCUAUCAACAAUAUGCAAAUCAAAUUCUUGUAGCAAGAGCCCCCAUCUAAUAAGUCUAGGUUUAGCAUCUUUCUUUUCCAUAAUAUAUUUAAUAGCAACAUGAUCAGUGUGGAUAGUUACUUUAGAAUCAACAAUAUAAGGUCUGAACUUAUCACAAGCAAAUACAACUGCUAAAAGUUCUUUUUCAGUAGUAGCAUAAUUUCUUUGAGCAUUGUCUAGAGUCUUACUAGCAUAAUGGAUAACAUUUCAUUUCUUAUCAACUCUUUGCCCUAGAACAGCACCUACAACAUAAUCGCUAGCAUCGCACAUAAUUUCAAAGGGUAAGUUCCAAUCAGGUGGCUGAACAAUAGGUGCAGAGACUAAUGCUUUCUUAAGUAUUUCAAAUGCUUCUACACAAUCAUCAUCAAAGACAAAUGGUAUAUCUUUUUGUAAUAAAUUAGUCAGAGGCCGAGAAAUUUUUGAGAUGUCCAUAAUGAACCUCCUAUAGAAUCCGGCGUGACCAAGGAAACUUCUUAUACCUUUGAUGUCCUUGGGACAUGGCAUCUUUUCAAUAGCAUCAACCUUGGCUUUAUCAACUUCAAUACCUCUUUCAGAAACUUUAUGCCCCAAGACAAUACCUUCAUUAACCAUAAAGUGGAACUUUUCCCAAUUCAAGACAAGACUACUUUCUUCACAUCUCUGCAAAAAUCGAUCAAGAUUGCUCAAGCAAUCAUCAAAAGAAGAUCCAUAGACGGAAAAGUCAUCCAUGAAAACCUCACAAAUCUUUUCACCAAAGUCAGAGAAUAUAGCCAUCAUGCAUCUUUGAAAGGUAGCAGGUGCAUUACAUAAACCAAAAGGCAUACGUUUAUAAGCAAAAGUACCAAAAGGGCAUGUAAAAGUAGUCUUUGAUUGAUCUUUAGCCGACACAGGUAUUUGAGAGAAACCAGAAUAACCAUUUAGAAAGCAGUAAUGUAUAUGUUUGCAUAAUCUUUCUAGCAUUUGAUCGAUAAAAGGUAAGGGGUAAUGAUCUUUCUUAGUAGCCUUAUUUAAUUUGCGGAAAUCAAUUACCAUCCUAUAACCUGUAAUAAUUCUUUGUAGAAUCAAUUCAUCUUUAUCAUUAGGAACAACAGUAAUACCUCCCUUCUUAGGGACACAAUGAAUAGGACUUACCCACUGACUAUCAGCAACGGGAUAAAUUAUACCUGCCUCUAGAAGCUUUAGUAUUUCUUUUAUUACCACUUCUUUCAUUUUAGGAUCCAGACGUCAUUGAGGAUCAUGAACUGGUUUGGCAUCUGCUUCCAAAUUUAUUUUAUGUUGACAUAGAGUGGGACUAAUGCCCUUAAGAUCAUCAAGAGUAUAUCCAAUAGCAGCACGGUGCUUCUUCAGAGUUUUCAAUAAUUGUUUUUCUUCAUGCUCUGAAAGGUUAGCACUAAUAAUAACAGGAUAUAUCUUCUUUUCAUCAAGAUAAGCAUAUUUAAGAUUAUCAGGCAAUGGUUUAAGCUCAAACACGGGAUCACCCUUAGGUGGAGGAGGGUCCCCUAGGAUUUCAACAUGCAAAUUAUGUUCCAGCAUAUGUUCUUGUUUAAAGAAUACUUCAUCUAUUUCCCUUCUUUCAUUCAUAAACAUAUCAUUCUCAUGGUCUAGCAAAUAUUGUUCUAAAGGAUCACUAGGAGGUACGGCAAUAGAAGCAAGACCAAUAAUUUCAUCCUUACUAGAUAAUUCUUGUUCACGGUGUUGUUUAGUAAAUUUAGAGAAAUUAAA